AUUGAACGCUGGCGGAAUGCUUUACACAUGCAAGUCGAGCGGCAGCGCGGGGGCAACCCUGGCGGCGAGCGGCGAACGGGUGAGUAAUACAUCGGAACGUGUCCUUAAGUGGGGGAUAGCUCGGCGAAAGCCGGAUUAAUACCGCAUAAGCUCUGAGGAGGAAAGCGGGGGCUCCGUAAGGACCUCGCGCUGUUGGAGCGGCCGAUGUCGGAUUAGCUAGUUGGUGGGGUAAAGGCCCACCAAGGCGACGAUCCGUAGCUGGUCUGAGAGGAUGAUCAGCCACACUGGAACUGAGACACGGUCCAGACUCCUACGGGAGGCAGCAGUGGGGAAUUUUGGACAAUGGGGGCAACCCUGAUCCAGCCAUUCCGCGUGAGCGAAGAAGGCC
rnacentral:rRNA from 1 species